AAGUCGUAACAAGGUUUCCGUAGGUGAACCUGCGGAAGGAUCAUUAACACAAGUCCCAAAAACAAACCCAAACCCCUUUUAUAAAAACAAAAAAAUAACCUAACCUUUUAACCCCUAACACCAUAACUAAUUGACUAAUUUAGAUUGUACCUCAAAAUAAGCGAUUGUUUCACCGACAUUGUUUACUCAAAUACGGCUUGAAUCAAAUGUGACAUUUUGAGUCCAAUCGACCAAUUCAUUCAUUUGAAUUGUAAAUAAAAUAAUUACAACUCUUAACAAUGGAUAUCUUGGUUCUC
rnacentral:misc_RNA from 1 species